rnacentral:tRNA from 1 species
GGAGAGGUGGCUCAAUGGUUAAGAGCACUUGCUGCUCCCCAAGAGGACCUAGGUUCAAUUCCCAACAUCUACA